rnacentral:rRNA from 1 species
UACGGGAGGCAGCAGUGAGGAAUAUUGGUCAAUGGACGAGAGUCUGAACCAGCCAAGUAGCGUGAAGGAUGACUGCCCUAUGGGUUGUAAACUUCUUUUAUACGGGAAUAAAGUGAGCCACGUGUGGCUUUUUGUAUGUACCGUAUGAAUAAGGAUCGGCUAACUCCGUGCCAGCAGCCGCGGUAAUACGGAGGAUUCGAGCGUUAUCCGGAUUUAUUGGGUUUAAAGGGAGCGUAGGCGGGUUGUUAAGUCAGUUGUGAAAGUUUGCGGCUCAACCGUAAAAUUGCAGUUGAUACUGGCAGUCUUGAGUGCAGUAGAGGUGGGCGGAAUUCGUGGUGUAGCGGUGAAAUGCUUAGAUAUCACGAAGAACUCCGAUUGC